CCUACGGGAGGCUGCAGUGGGGGAUAUUGCACAAUGGGGGGAACCCUGAUGCAGCGACGUCGCGUGGGUGAAGAAGCGCCUCGGCGCGUAAAGCCCUGUCAGCAGGGAAGAAAAUGACGGUACCUGAAGAAGAAGCCCCGGCUAACUACGUGCCAGCAGCCGCUGUAAUACGGAGGGCGCAAGCGUUAUCCGGAUUUACUGGGUGUAAAGGGGGGGCAGGCGGGGAUGCAAGCCAGGAGGGAAAGCGCGGGGGCCAACCCCGGGACGGCUCUUGGAACUGCGUGGCUGGAGUGCAGGAGGGGCAGGCGGAAUUUCUGGUGUAGCGGUGAAAUGCGUAGAUAUCAGGAGGAACACCGGUGGCGAAGGCGGCCUGCUGGACUGCAACUGACGUUGAGGCCCGAAAGCGUGGGGAGCAAACAGGAUUAGAUACCCGUGUAGUC
rnacentral:rRNA from 1 species